ACAAACAGUUGGCAAAGUGCAUUUCUCAUCCCCCUGUUGAUGAACUGGUACACAGAGAAUAAUGGACUAUUACUGCUACAAGUUGCUGUGUUAGCUGAAGUGGUAGAGUGGUCACUUUGACUGUGUGACCCGGCUGGAGGGAUGAACCACUAAAGACGGGACAAGGGAGGUUGACAACCUGCAGGCAGUUCCAGGAGUGGGAAAAGGUCUACAGUACCCCACACAGCAGCAGGAUGUGCUCAAGAGCUUAUAUUUUCCACAGCAGAUGGAGCCCUGCGGUAUGCAAAUCAACUUUCCGAUCCUUCAGUAAGAAAGGAGCUUAAUCAAUGUUACUUGAUAAUAAAAACUUAAAGGAGCCUGAACAUACUUCAUCCAAUAGAGUGCAGUUGUAUCAAAAAUAAUGUCUAAACAUUACAAGCAGAAGGGUGAAAAGUGAUGCAGGAAGAUAAGUCCUGAGUCAGAGGCCAUUAAAGUCAAUGAAGAGACUCCAAUUGACUUCCGUGGGCUUGGGAUCAGACUCAGAGAAGAGAUGGGAUCAGAGCCUUAGCGACGAGACUGUUACGGAAUGGCAACAAUACCUGAACAGCCAAAGACAAACACCAAGCUGUCUACAAGACAGAGUGCCAUUUUAUUCCUCUGUCGAAAUUCCUGAUGAGAUGGGCAAAACAUCAGGAAACACUCAAGAGAAGACCUCCUGAACCUUCCAAUUAUUCUUGUUGGCAUCUUUAGAUAGAUAAGGUAUUUUUUUUUACAAUAAUUUCCUUU